GAUGAACGCUGGCGGCGUGCCUAAUACAUGCCAGUCGAGCGAACAGAUAAGGAGCUUGCUCCUUUGACGUUAGCGGCGGACGGGUGAGUAACACGUGGGUAACCUACCUAUAAGACUGGAAUAACUCCGGGAAACCGGGGCUAAUGCCGGAUAACAUGUUGAACCGCAUGGUUCUACAGUGAAAGGCGGCUUUGCUGUCACUUAUAGAUGGACCCGCGCCGUAUUAGCUAGUUGGUGAGGUAACGGCUCACCAAGGCAACGAUACGUAGCCGACCUGAGAGGGUGAUCGGCCACACGGGAACUGAGACACGGUCCAGACUCCUACGGGAGGCAGCAGUAGGGAAUCUUCCGCAAUGGGCGAAAGCCUGACGGAGCAACGCCGCGUGAGUGAUGAAGGUCUUCGGAUCGUAAAACUCUGUUAUUAGGGAAGAACAAAUGCGUAAGUAACUGUGCGCGUCUUGACGGUACCUAAUCAGAAAGCCACGGCUAACUACGUG
rnacentral:rRNA from 1 species